rnacentral:rRNA from 1 species
AAGCUCGUAGUUGAAUUUCGAGAUCAAUUUGUUGGUCGUGCCUCGGUACGUACUGGCAAUUUUGAUUUCUCCCUUCUGAAGAACCAUGAUGUCAUUAAUUUGGUGUCAUGGGGAAUCAGGACUGUUACUUUGAAAAAAUUAGAGUGUUUAAAGCAGGCUCACGCUUGAAUACAUUAGCAUGGAAUAACGGAAUAGGACGUUUGAUUCUAUUUUGUUGGUUUCUAGGAUCGACGUAAUGAUUAAUAGGGAUAGUUGGGGGCAUUAGUAUUCAAUUGUCAGAGGUGAAAUUCUUGGAUUUAUUGAAGACUAACUACUGCGAAAGCAUUUGCCAAGGAUGUUUUCAUUAAUCAAGAACGAAAGUUAGGGGAUCGAAGACGAUCAGAUACCGUCGUAGUCUUAACCAUAAACUAUGCCGACUAGGGAUCGGAUGAUGUUAAUUUUUUAAUGACUCAUUCGGCAC